GACGAACGCUGGCGGCGUGCUUAACACAUGCAAGUCGAACGGUGAAGCGCCUUCCUUUUUGGUGGGUGUGGAUGAGUGGCGAACGGGUGAGUAACACGUGAGUAACCUGCCCCCUUCUUCUGGAUAACCGCAUGAAAGUGUGGCUAAUACGGGAUAUUCUGGGUCUGUCGCAUGAUGGGUCUGGGAAAGAUAUUGUUUCGGUGGGGGAUGGGCUCGCGGCCUAUCAGCUUGUUGGUGGGGUGAUGGCCUACCAAGGCGGUGACGGGUAGCCGGCCUGAGAGGGUGGACGGUCACACUGGGACUGCGACACGGCCCAGACUCCUACGGGAGGCAGCAGUGGGGAAUAUUGCACAAUGGGCGCAAGCCUGAUGCAGCGACGCCGCGUGAGGGAUGGAGGCCUUCAGGUUGUGAACCUCUUUCGCCAGUGAAGCAGGCCUGCCUCGUUUGUGGGUGGGUUGACGGUAGCUGGAUAAGAAGCGCCGGCUAACUACGUG
rnacentral:rRNA from 1 species